GCAUAGCUCAGUUGGUAGAGCACCUGAUUUGUAAUCAGGAUGUCGUUGGUUCGACUCCGACUGC
rnacentral:tRNA from 1 species